rnacentral:rRNA from 1 species
AGUGGUCAAGCUAAUAAGGGCUCAUGGUGGAUACCUAGGCACACAGAGGCGAAGAAGGACGUGGUUACCUGCGAAAAGUUCCGGGGAGUUGGAA